rnacentral:rRNA from 1 species
GAUGAACGCUAGCUACAGGCUUAACACAUGCAAGUCGAGGGACCGGCUCACGGGUGAGUAACACGUAUCCACCCUGCCCUUUACUCGGGGAUAGCCUUUCGAAAGAAAGAUUAAUACCCGAUAUAAAGGAUGGGGAUGCGUUCCAUUAGGUUGUUGGUGAGGUAACGGCCCACCAAGCCUUCGAUUGAUAGGGGUGCUGAGAGGAAGUUCCCCCACAUUGGAACUGAGACACGGUCCAAACUCCUACGGGAGGCAGAAGUGAGGAAUAUUGGUCAAUGGGAGUUAGACUGAACCAGCCAAGUAGCGUGAAGGAUGAAGGCUUAUGGGUCGUAAACUUCUUUUAUAUAAGAAUAUGUAUUAUAUGAAUAAGGAUCGGCUAACUCCGUGCCAGCAGCCGCGGUAAUUC